AACGUAGGGGGCGAGCGUUGCCAGGAUUUACUGGGCGUAAAGCGCGCGUAGGCGGCUGCGUAAGUGGGGAGUUAAAGCUCUCGGCUCAACCGAGGAAAUGCUCCUCAAACUGCGCGGCUUGAGUGUAGGAGAGGGGAGUGGAAGUCCCGGUGUAGCGGUGAAAUGCGUUGAUAUCGGGAGGAACACCGGUGGCGAAGGCGGCUCCCUGGUCUACCACUGACGCUGAGGCGCGAAAUCGUGGGGAGCGAACGGG
rnacentral:rRNA from 1 species